CCUACGGGGGGCAGCAGUGGGGGAUAUUGGACAAUGGGGGAAACCCUGAUCCAGCGACGCCGCGUGAGUGAAGAAGUAUUUCGGGAUGUAAAGCUCUGUAAGCAGGGAAGAAAGAAAUGACGGUACCGGACCAAGAAGCAACGGCUAACGACGGGCCAGCAGCCGCGGGAAUACGUAGGGGGCAAGCGUUAUCCGGAAUUACUGGGUGUAAAGGGAGCGUAGACGGUGAUGCAAGUCUGGAGUGAAAGGCGGGGGCCCAACCCCCGGACUGCUCUGGAAACGGUGUAACUUGAGUGCAGGAGAGGUAAGCGGAAUUCCUAGUGUCGCGGUGACCUGCGUAGUUAUUAGGAGGUACCCCAGUGGCGAAGGCGGCUUACUGGACUGUACCUGACGUUGAGGCUCGAAAGCGUGGGGAGCACAC
rnacentral:rRNA from 1 species